rnacentral:rRNA from 1 species
UACGUAGGGGGCAAGCGUUGUCCGGAAUUAUUGGGCGUAAAGAGCUCGUAGGCGGCUUGUCGCGUCGGAUGUGAAAGCCCGAGGCUUAACUUCGGGUCUGCAUUCGAUACGGGCAGGCUAGAGUUCGGUAGGGGAGAUCGGAAUUCCUGGUGUAGCGGUGAAAUGCGCAGAUAUCAGGAGGAACACCGGUGGCGAAGGCGGAUCUCUGGGCCGAUACUGACGCUGAGGAGCGAAAGCGUGGGGAGCGAACAGG